rnacentral:rRNA from 1 species
AUGGAUGAAGAAACUGCUAGAGUUUUUCUUGCUUGCAAUGAUAGAUAUGAUCUUAAGAAAUUAUUAGCUAAGCUGAAAGAAAAGUAUCUGAAUGCUAGAAUGAAAUAUGACCCUGCUUUUGCUACUUCACCUAUCUGUAUUUCCGAUAAGGAUUAUGAUUUCUUUGUCGAUCCUGAGAUAAUUACUUUGGUUGAAUCUGAUCCUUUUUAUGGCUAUGAAUCUGAAACUAUUGUGGCACAUCUUACUAAAUUGAAUGAUAUAGCCACCCUAUUCACUCAUGAGGAAAAAAUUCGUUACUACUAUAUCCUUAAAUUAUUUCCGUUCUCAUUAAAGGGUGAUGCUAAAACAUGGUUUAAUUCUCUUAAUCCUGGUUGUGUGCGUAGUCCCCAUGAUAUGAUUUACUACUUCUCUGCUAAAUAUUUCCCCGCUGAUACGAAACAAGCUGCCUUAAGGGAAAUAUAUAAUUUUGUG